rnacentral:tRNA from 1 species
GAGGGUAGAACUCAGUGGUAGAGCACAUGCUUAGCACACAUGAGGUCUGGGUUCAAUCCCCAGUACCGCCA